UACAGAGGUCUCGAGCGUUGUUCGGAUUCAUUGGGCGUAAAGGGUGCGUAGGUGGCGUGGUAAGUCUGGUGUGAAAUCCCGGGGCUCAACCCCGGAACUGCACUGGAUACUGCCAUGCUUGAGGACUGGAGAGGAGACUGGAAUUUACGGUGUAGCGGUGAAAUGCGUAGAUAUCGUAAGGAAGACCAGUGGCGAAGGCGGGUCUCUGGACAGUUCCUGACGCUGAGGCACGAAGGUCAGGGGAGCAAACGGG
rnacentral:rRNA from 1 species